rnacentral:rRNA from 1 species
UACGUAGGGACCGAGCGUUGUCCGGAUUCAUUGGGCGUAAAGAGCUCGUAGGCGGCCACUCAAGUCGAAUGUGAAACCUCGAGGCUUAACCUCGAGCCUGCAUUCGAUACUGGGCGGCUAGAGUCUGGUAGGGGGAUCUGGAAUUCCUGGUGUAGCGGUGGAAUGCGCAGAUAUCAGGAGGAACACCAGUGGCGAAGGCGGCACUCUGGGCCAGUACUGACACUGAGGAGCGAAAGCGUGGGGAGCGAACAGG